rnacentral:rRNA from 1 species
AUUGAACGCUAGCGGCAUGCCUAACACAUGCAAGUCGAGCGAGCGGCGGACGGGUGAGUAAUGUAUGGGGACCUGCCUGGUGGAGGGGGAUAACUACUGGAAACAGUAGCUAAUACCGCAUACCAUCAGAUGAGCCCAUAUGGGAUUAGCUUGUGGGUGUGGUAACGGCUUACCUAGGCGACGAUCCCUAGCUGGUUUGAGAGGACGACCAGCCACACUGGGACUGAGACACGGCCCAGACUCCUACGGGAGGCAGCAGUGGGGAAUUUUGCACAAUGGGGGAAAGCCUGAUGCAGCCAUCCCGCGUGUAUGAAGAAGGCCUUCGGGUUGUAAAGUACUUUCAGUCGGGAGGCGUUACCUGCAGAAGAAGCACCGGCUAACUACGUGCCAGCAGCCGCGGUAAUAC